CGUCUACUCCCAACAAGCUGAAUAAUCUUUAGAAAGCAGUAAAUCCACACAGGAAAAGAAGAUGCCAUUGAAAUGGAUACUGUCUGAACUUGAAUGUGUCCGCCGCACAGAUGAUACCCAACAGAUACUGCUGUUGCUAAUAAAAGAAUAAUGGAAUCCAA